rnacentral:rRNA from 1 species
AACGCGAAGAACCUUACCGGGGCUUGACAUGGCCACGAAGGUCUCAGAGAUGGGGCUGCCUUCGGGCGUGGUCACAGGUGUUGCAUGGCUGUCGUCAGCUCGUGCCGUGAGGUGUUGGGUUAAGUCCCGCAACGAGCGCAACCCUCGCCCGCAGUUAGGCUGUCUGCGGGGACUGCCGGAAGCAAACCGGAGGAAGGCGGGGAUGACGUCAAGUCAGCAUGGCCCUUACGUCCCGGGCUACACACACGCUACAAUGGCCGGUACAGCGGGAGGCGAGGUCGCGAGGCGGAGCCAAUCCCCUAAAGCCGGCCCCAGUUCAGAUCGCAGGCUGCAACUCGCCUGCGUGAAGGCGGAGUUGCUAGUAACCGCGGGUCAGCACACCGCGGUGAAUAUGUUCCCGGGCCUUGUA